rfam:TPA: Bos taurus chromosome 3, whole genome shotgun sequence.
UGGCUCAGAGGUUAAAGCGUCUGCCUGUAAUGCAGGAGACCUGGGUUCGAUCCCUG